UUUGUUUUAUGUUUUAGCACAUCACCAACGGAAAGUUAUAAAAACUGUAUCAGAUUGUCCAUUAGUUUCUGUGAUGAUGAGAAAUUAAAACGAGGCGUCCAGAAACUGAAAGAUGCUGUGAGAGAAUACCAAUCAAUAUGGGGCCAAGACAAAUAGGGGAUAGUUUACUGAGACAAUCAUUUUGUUUUAUUUUUGUUGGUUAGAGGAAUAUAAUAAGAGCUUACCAGGACAUAUCUUUACAGUAAAUUAAAAUACAAUCACAAAAAUAUUUCAUAUGAAUGAUUUUGAAUUUUAUUGUUAUAAUUUUCACCAGUAUUUUUCUUACUGAAAUGCAAUAAGAGUAUAAAAUAUUGUAAUGCAAUAAGAGUAUAAAAUAUUGUAAUGCAAUAAGAGUAUAAAAUAUUGUAAUGAUUUUAACAUUUAUAUACAGAAUAAAAGACGAUGCAAACCAAACGAGGUAAUAUUUGAAGAAAGACGAAAACUUCUGAAUUACAAAAUUAAAGAGAGGACAACAACAAUUUGCACUGAUAAUAAUUAAUAACAACAUGCAUAGUUAAUGACACAUAAUGAACACGGC
rnacentral:lncRNA from 1 species